rnacentral:rRNA from 1 species
CCCGCACAAGCGGUGGAGCAUGUGGUUUAAUUCGACGCAACGCGAAGAACCUUACCUGGCCUUGACAUGUUGAGAACUUUCCAGAGAUGGAUGGGUGCCUUCGGGAACUCAAACACAGGUGCUGCAUGGCCGUCGUCAGCUCGUGUCGUGAGAUGUUGGGUUAAGUCCCGUAACGAGCGCAACCCCUAUCCCUAGUUGCCAGCACAUCAUGGUGGGAACUCUAGGGAGACUGCCGGUGACAAACCGGAGGAAGGUGGGGAUGACGUCAGGUCAUCAUGGCCCUUACGGCCAGGGCUACACACGUGCUACAAUGGCGCGCACAGAGGGCUGCAAACCCGCGAGGGGGAGCUAAUCUCACAAAACGCGUCGUAGUCCGGAUCGGAGUCUGCAACUCGACUCCGUGAAGUCGGAAUCGCUAGUAAUCGUGAAUCAGAAUGUCACGGUGAAUACGUUCCCGGGCCUUGUACACACCGCCCGUCACACCAUGGGAGUGGAUUGCACCAGAAGUGGUUAGUCUAACCUUCGGGAGGACGAUCACCACGGUGUGGUUCAUGACUGGGGUGAAGUCG